AGGCUGGACUCAAAUUCCUUGGCUCAAGUGAUCCUCCCACCUCCUCAGCCUCCCAAAGUGCUGGAAUUACAGGCGUGAGUUGCUGCACCCAGCCUGCUCAGUGACGUUGAUGUUAGCCAGAUUCCAUCUUAUCUAUGGAAAACGGAAGCACAACAGGUGAAGUUGCCUGCCAAGUCAGCCAGCUGUGCCCACCUGCUGAUUCGGACUCUUAGCGACCCCUCCACAGCACUGUCCUGAGGGUGAAAUGAGAUCGGGGACAAAGUGCCACCAACUGGAAAAGGUUAACUCAGAACCAUCUGGCACCCACCAGAACUUCCUACGCCGGGAGUGCGUCAGAACCAGCCGAGGGUGUGAAAGCGGACACUGUCACACUGUGGUAGGAUUCUAAAUCAUUCACUAUUUACAUGAGCACAGAAAUAAAC
rnacentral:lncRNA from 1 species